rnacentral:rRNA from 1 species
UUGAAUAUACUAGAUGGGUUGUAGCUGGCUCUUUGGAGCAUGUGCACGCCUGUCUUGACUUAAUUCAUCCACCUGUGCACCUUUUGUAGUCUUGGGGGUUGAGUGCAGUCAACUAUCGGACGGCUAUUGUAGGUCCUAUCCGGAUGUGAGGAAUGCUGAGUGCGGAAGCAUGCAGCUCUCUUCAAAACGACUUGUAAACCCUCUCCCUCGAGUACUAUGUAUUCAUACACCACAUAGUAUGUUGUAGAAUGUAAUCAAUGGGCCUAUGUGCCUAUAAUAAUCAUAUACAACUUUCAGCAACGGAUCUCUUGGCUCUCGCAUCGAUGAAGAACGCAGCGAAAUGCGAUAAGUAAUGUGAAUUGCAGAAUUCAGUGAAUCAUCGAAUCUUUGAACGCACCUUGCGCUCCUUGGUAUUCCGAGGAGCAUGCCUGUUUGAGUGUCAUUAAAUUCUCAACCCCUCCAGCUUUUGCGAGUUGUGACGGGGCUUGGAAUUUGGGGGUUUGCGGGCCGUAAAGGUCGGCUCUCCUGAAAUGCAUUAACCGAACCGUUUGCAGUCCCGUCACUAGUCUUGACCUCAAAUCAGGUAGGACUACCCGCUGAACUUAAGCAUAUCAAUAAGCGGAGGAAAAGAAACUAACAAGGAUUCCCCUAGUAACUGCGAGUGAAGCGGGAAAAGCUCAAAUUUAAAAUCUGGCGGUCUCUGGCCGUCCGAGUUGUAAUCUAGAGAAGUGAUGCCCGCGCUGGACCGUGUACAAGUCUCCUGGGAUGGAGCGUCAUAGAGGGUGAGAAUCCCGUCUCUGACACGGACUACCAGGGCUUUGUGGUACGCUCUCAAAGAGUCGAGUUGUUUGGGAAUGCAGCUCUAAAUGGGUGGUAAAUUCCAUCUAAAGCUAAAUAUUGGCGAGAGACCGAUAGCGAACAAGUACCGUGAGGGAAAGAUGAAAAGAACUUUGGAAAGAGAGUUAAACAGUACGUGAAAUUGCUGAAAGGGAAACGCUUGAAGUCAGUCGCGUCGGCCGGGAAUCAGCCUCGCUUUUGCGUGGUGUACUUUCUGGUUGACGGGUCAGCAUCAAUUUUGACCGCUGGAAAAAGGCUUAGGGAAUGUGGCAGCUUCGGCUGUGUUAUAGCCCUUUGUCACAUACAACGGUUGGGAUUGAGGAACUCAGCACGCCGCAAGGCCGGGUUUCGACCACGUUCGUGCUUAGGAUGCUGGCAUAAUGGCUUUAAGCGACCCGUCUUGAAACACGGACCAAGGAGUCUAACAUGCCUGCGAGUGUUUGGGUGGAAAACCCGAGCGCGUAAUGAAAGUGAAAGUUGAGAUCCCUGUCGUGGGGAGCAUCGACGCCCGGACCUGAACUUUUGUGACGGAUCCGCGGUAGAGCAUGUAUGUUGGGACCCGAAAGAUGGUGAACUAUGCCUGAAUAGGGCGAAGCCAGAGGAAACUCUGGUGGAGGCUCGUAGCGAUUCUGACGUGCAAAUCGAUCGUCAAAUUUGGGUAUAGGGGCGAAAGACUAAUCGAACCAU